GGGAGGCAGCAGUGAGGAAUUUUGGACAAUGGGGGAAACCCUGAUCCAGCCAUUCCGCGUGAGUGAAGAAGGCCUUCGGGUUGUAAAGCUCUUUCGGCAGGGAAGAAACGGUGUCCCCUAAUACGGGGCGCUAAUGACGGUACCUGAAGAAGAAGCACCGGCUAACUACGUGCCAGCAGCCGCGGUAAUACGUAGGGUGCGAGCGUUAAUCGGAAUUACUGGGCGUAAAGCGUGCGCAGGCGGUUUUGUAAGACAGAUGUGAAAUCCCCGGGCUCAACCUGGGAACUGCGUUUGUGACUGCAAGACUUGAGUAUGGCAGAGGGGGGUAGAAUUCCACGUGUAGCAGUGAAAUGCGUAGAGAUGUGGAGGAAUACCGAUGGCGAAGGCAGCCCCCUGGGUCAAUACUGACGCUCAUGCACGAAAGCGUGGGGAGCAAACAGGAUUAGAUACCCAGUAGUCG
rnacentral:rRNA from 1 species